rnacentral:rRNA from 1 species
GUCCACUGAACCUUAUCAUUUAGAGGAAGGAGAAGUCGUAACAAGGUUUCCGUAGGUGAACCUGCGGAAGGAUCAUUGUCGAAACCUGCCCAGCAGAACGACCCGCGAACGAGUGAAGGCACCCGCGGGGCCGGUGCGAUCGGCGCGCGAGCGCUGGCGCCCCGGCCCGCGGCGGGGGGCGAGCGCCGUCUCGUCCCGCGCUGCGAGAACAACGAACCCCGGCGCGAGCCGCGCCAAGGAAAACAGAAAGAGGGAGCGCGCUCCCGCCGCCCCGGACACGGCGCGCGCGGGAUGCGCGGCCUCCUUCCGACGAAUAUCCAAAACGACUCUCGGCAACGGAUAUCUCGGCUCUCGCAUCGAUGAAGAAUGUAGCGAAAUGCGAUACUUGGUGUGAAUUGCAGAAUCCCGUGAACCAUCGAGUCUUUGAACGCAAGUUGCGCCCUAGGCCGUCAGGCCGAGGGCACGUCUGCCUGGGUGUCACGCACCGUUGCCUCCCCCCAACCCCCUCCCCGGGAGUUGUCGGGCGGGCGGAGACUGGCCUCCCGUGCGCUCCCCGCUCGCGGCUGGCCUAAAUUCGAGCCUUCGGCGGCCGCGCCGCGACGAUCGGUGGCGAGAUGGAAACUCACGAUCUCUCGUCGCGCGCUCGCGCCCCCGACACGCCGGCUCGCGGAACCCCUGCGCGUCCCGCACGCGGGCGCUCGAUUCGCGACCCCAGGUCAGGCGGGACCACCCGCUGAGUUUAAGCAUAUCAAUAAGCGGAGGA